GAAGGCAGAGGCUUUGAUCCACUGAGCCAUCCAGGCGCCCCAAAAAGGAAGACUUUUCAAGUGUGGUGGGGCCGGAGGGGGUCCUUUAUUAAAAAAAAAAAAAAGUACCGCUCACGCACUGACCAAUCGGAACAGACGCAGAGAACAAGUCAACCAAUCAGAACCAUCACCAGGCAAAAUCACCGCCUCCCUGAGGAAAGCUCCAGGUAGAACCUUCCUGCUCUCACCAAGCCUGCGCAGUCGAAGCUCCAAGUCGUGGAAGCUCUGCCCCGUGAGCUUCUCCUCCGUGUCGAGGCAGGCUGUGGCCUUCGCAGGCGUUAGCCGGGAUCGUCCUCACUCCCUGCAAGGCUUUGAAGGGAGGACUCUGAAUGUCCCACAGAAUGGAAACUGCAUACUGCUCUCUACAAGCGAACACGAUGGCAUAGAAGAAGGGCCAUCAGGAUAGAGACAUCUCAAAGUCAUUGUGGUCCCAGUGGAUGAUCUGCCCUACCCUACCUAGGCAAUACUGCCCUCAAUCAUGAAUUCCAAUUAGACGUAACCAAAAAGCCUCGGAGCCAACUUUCUGCUAAAACAGAUGCCAAGCAAUUAAGGUUUCUCAAAAAGAAGAAGAAGAAGAAGGAG